UGGGGAAUAUUGGGCAAUGGGGGAAACCCUGACCCAGCAACGCCGCGUGAAGGAAGAAGGUUUUCGGAUUGUAAACUUCUGUCCUUGGUGAAGAGAAGAAGACGGUAGCCAAGGAGGAAGCCCCGGCUAACUACGUGCCAGCAGCCGCGGUAAUACGUAGGGGGCAAGCGUUGUCCGGAAUGAUUGGGCGUAAAGGGCGCGUAGGCGGCUUUGUAAGUCUGGAGUGAAAGUCCUCUUUUCAAGGGAGGAAUUGCUUUGGAAACUAUAGAGCUUGAGUGCAGGAGAGGUUAUCGGAAUUCCCGGUGUAGCGGUGAAAUGCGUAGAUAUCGGGAGGAACAUCGGUGGCGAAGGCGGGUAACUGGACUGCAACUGACGCUGAGGCGCGAAAGUGUGGGGAGCAAACAG
rnacentral:rRNA from 1 species